rnacentral:rRNA from 1 species
GACGUAGGGCGCGAGCGUUGUCCGGAUUUAUUGGGCGUAAAGAGCUCGUAGGCGGUUUGUCGCGUCUGCCGUGAAAGUCGGGGGCUCAACCUCGGAUGCCGGUGGAUACUGUCGGGCUUGAGUACGGAAGAGGCGAGUGGAAUUCCUGGUGUAGCGGUGAAAUGCGCAGAUAUCAGGAGGAACACCGGUGGCGAAGGCGGGUCUCUGGGCCGUAACUGACGCUGAGGAGCGAAAGCGUGGGGAGCGAACAGG